UGGGGAAUUUUGGACAAUGGGGGAAACCCUGAUCCAGCCAUCCCGCGUGUGCGAUGAAGGCCUUCGGGUUGUAAAGCACUUUUGGCAGGAAAGAAACGUCGCGGGUUAAUACCCCGCGAAACUGACGGUACCUGCAGAAUAAGCACCGGCUAACUACGUGCCAGCAGCCGCGGUAAUACGUAGGGUGCAAGCGUUAAUCGGAAUUACUGGGCGUAAAGCGUGCGCAGGCGGUUCGGAAAGAAAGAUGUGAAAUCCCAGAGCUUAACUUUGGAACUGCAUUUUUAACUACCGGGCUAGAGUGUGUCAGAGGGAGGUGGAAUUCCGCGUGUAGCAGUGAAAUGCGUAGAUAUGCGGAGGAACACCGAUGGCGAAGGCAGCCUCCUGGGAUAACACUGACGCUCAUGCACGAAAGCGUGGGGAGCAAACAGGAUUAGAUACCCUGGUAGUCCACGCCCUAAACGAUGUCAACUAGCUGUUGGGGGCCCUUCGGGCCUUGGUAGCGCAGCUAACGCGUGAAGUUGACCGCCUGGGGAGUACGGUCGCAAGAUU
rnacentral:rRNA from 1 species